AACAAUGUGAAGUAUAUUGGGUGGAUCCUUGAGGUAAUUUAUUUCCCCUAUAUUCUCUAGUGUUUGGCCAAAGUGUUGUGGCUACUUUUCUGCCGAACACAUGAACUCUGCUGGUACCACCAGACGUCGUUUCAUGCAUCUAUUAUUGUGGAGCAUCAGGUCUGGUGUUUGAUAAAGUAGACAUGAUUGUUCUCAUUCCCAAUCAUCAUCAUAGUAAGACUGCUUAAGAUUCCUGAGCUUUAUUUAUUCCCUUUCCAGAG
rnacentral:lncRNA from 1 species